GCUUGUCUCAAAGAUUAAGCCAUGCAUGUCUAAGUAUAAAUGCUAUACAAUGAAACUGCGAAUGGCUCAUUAAAACAGUUAUAGUUUAUUUGGUAAUACACUUACAUGGAUAACCGUGGUAAUUCUAGAGCUAAUACAUGCAUCAAGCCCCGACUUCUGGAAGGGGUGUAUUUAUUAGAUGGAAACCAAUGCGGGGCAACCCGGUAUAUGGUGAUUCAUAAUAACUUUCGGAUCGAUUUAUCGAUGCAUCAUUCAAGUUUCUGCCCUAUCAGCUUUGGAUGGUAGGGUAUUGGCCUACCAUGGCUUUAACGGGUAACGGAGAAUUAGGGUUCGAUUCCGGAGAGGGAGCCUGAGAAAUGGCUACCACAUCCAAGGAAGGCAGCAGG
rnacentral:rRNA from 1 species